UACGUAGGCAGCGAGCGUUGUUCGGAAUUACUGGGCGUAAAGAGUGUGUAGGCGGUGCUCUAAGUUCGGUGUGAAACUCUCCUGGCUCAACUGGGAGGGUGCGCCGGAAACUGGAGUGCUUGAGCGUGGGAGAGGAAGCGGAAUUCCUGGAUGUAGCGGUGAAAUGCGUAGAUAUCAGGAGGAACACCUGUGGUGUAGACGGCUUUCUGGACCAUAGCUGACGCUGAGACACGAAAGCGUGGGUAGCAAACAGGG
rnacentral:rRNA from 1 species